rnacentral:rRNA from 1 species
UACGGAGGGUGCAAGCGUUAUCCGGAUUUACUGGGUUUAAAGGGUGCGUAGGUGGGUUGGUAAGUCAGUGGUGAAAUACUUUCGCUUAACGAAGGAACUGCCAUUGAUACUACCAGUCUUGAAUACAGUGGAGGUAGGCGGAAUGCGUCGUGUAGCGGUGAAAUGCUUAGAUAUGACGCAGAACACCAAUUGCGAAGGCAGCUUGCUACACUGUUAUUGACACUGAGGCACGAAAGCGUGGGGAUCAAACAGG